rnacentral:rRNA from 1 species
ACUCCUACGGGAGGCAGCAGUGGGGAAUAUUGGACAAUGGGGCGCAAGCCUGAUCCAGCAAUGCCGCGUGUGUGAAGAAGGCCUGCGGGUUGUAAAGCACUUUUGUUCGGGAAGAAAUCAUGCUGGUUAAUACCUGGUAUGGAUGACGGUACCGAAAGAAUAAGCACCGGCUAACUUCGUGCCAGCAGCCGCGGUAAU